UACGAAGGGGGCGAGCGUUGUUCGGAUUUACUGGGCGUAAAGGGCGCGCAGGCGGCGAUCUUUGUCAGGCGUGAAAGCCCCGGGCUUAACCUGGGAACUGCGCUUGGGACGGGAUUGCUGGAGUCCGGGAGAGGUGAGUGGAACUGCGAGUGUAGAGGUGAAAUUCGUAGAUAUUCGCAAGAACACCAGUGGCGAAGGCGGCUCACUGGCCCGGUACUGACGCUGAGGUGCGAAAGCGGUGGGA
rnacentral:rRNA from 1 species